UGGGAUGAUGAUUUACUAGACUAGAGUCUCUGAUUUACCAUGAAGCUCUUUCACAGUGCACUGACCA